rnacentral:rRNA from 1 species
GUACACUCCUACGGGAGGCAGCAGUAGGGAAUCUUCGGCAAUGGGGGCAACCCUGACCGAGCAACGCCGCGUGAGUGAAGAAGGUUUUCGGAUCGUAAAGCUCUGUUGUAAGUCAAGAACGAGUGUGAGAGUGGAAAGUUCACACUGUGACGGUAGCUUACCAGAAAGGGACGGCUAACUACGUGCCAGCAGCCGCGGUAAUACGUAGGUCCCGAGCGUUGUCCGGAUUUAUUGGGCGUAAAGCGAGCGCAGGCGGUUUGAUAAGUCUGAAGUUAAAGGCUGUGGCUCAACCAUAGUUCGCUUUGGAAACUGUCAAACUUGAGUGCAGAAGGGGAGAGUGGAAUUCCAUGUGUAGCGGUGAAAUGCGUAGAUAUAUGGAGGAACACCGGUGGCGAAAGCGGCUCUCUGGUCUGUAACUGACGCUGAGGCUCGAAAGCGUGGGGAGCGAACAGGAUUAGAUACCCUGGUAGUCCC